GAAUCUUCCGCAAUGGGCGAAAGCCUGACGGAGCAACGCCGCGUGAGUGAUGAAGGUCUUCGGAUCGUAAAACUCUGUUAUUAGGGAAGAACAAACGUGUAAGUAACUGUGCACGUCUUGACGGUACCUAAUCAGAAAGCCACGGCUAACUACGUGCCAGCAGCCGCGGUAAUACGUAGGUGGCAAGCGUUAUCCGGAAUUAUUGGGCGUAAAGCGCGCGUAGGCGGUUUUUUAAGUCUGAUGUGAAAGCCCACGGCUCAACCGUGGAGGGUCAUUGGAAACUGGAAAACUUGAGUGCAGAAGAGGAAAGUGGAAUUCCAUGUGUAGCGGUGAAAUGCGCAGAGAUAUGGAGGAACACCAGUGGCGAAGGCGACUUUCUGGUCUGUAACUGACGCUGAUGUGC
rnacentral:rRNA from 1 species